AGUUCGCAAGUUAGCCUUAUGUGGUAGGUCAUGCGGAACUCAACUUCGGAUUGUGCCCGGUGCUUUUCCGCUUGACAUUUCCAGCUGAAACGAAAUCACGUUCGACGGACAGCCGAUGACACGGAAUAACUUUCCAUUUCGUCAUGGGUUCCAUUGGCCACAUCGCACUCCGUCAGAGCAACACGUCGAUGCUAUCGUCUACGUUAGCGUCGUGUUUGUGGUCUUUGCCACCAUAGUUCUGCUGCUCCUGGCGACCAAUUGCCGCAGUUUACCUCCUGCAGCCGCGCCCCUGACAGCCGAAGAACCCCAGCCUCAACCGACGAUUGUGCACCUCAAGAAUUCCGGUGUCUGUGUGCGCACUGAGACGUUUGCUGAAGAGAACAUUGUGUGAACUGUGCCUGGCACUCUCCAUUAGCUUCACUUUACCAGAACACUUUGAUAUGGGCUAACAGUGGGGAGCAUAGAAAAGAACACAGAAGGGAAGAAGGAGCGUGCAAUAACAUCUUUGUUUCGAUGACGCAAAACUACCAUCCUGAAUAUUUGUAAA